UGAAGAAGGCCUUCGGGUUGUAAAGCACUUUCAGUCGUGAGGAAGGUAGUGUAGUUAAUAGCUGCAUUAUUUGACGUUAGCGACAGAAGAAGCACCGGCUAACUCCGUGCCAGCAGCCGCGGUAAUACGGAGGGUGCGAGCGUUAAUCGGAAUUACUGGGCGUAAAGCGCAUGCAGGUGGUUUGUUAAGUCAGAUGUGAAAGCCCGGGGCUCAACCUCGGAAUAGCAUUUGAAACUGGCAGACUAGAGUACUGUAGAGGGGGGUAGAAUUUCAGGUGUAGCGGUGAAAUGCGUAGAGAUCUGAAGGAAUACCGGUGGCGAAGGCGGCCCCCUGGACAGAUACUGACACUCAGAUGCGAAAGCGUGGGGAGCAAACAGGAUUAGAUACCCUGGUAGUCCACGCCGUAAACGAUGUCUACUUGGAGGUUGUGGCCUUGAGCCGUGGCUUUCGGAGCUAACGCGUUAAGUAGACCGCCUGGGGAGUACGGUCGCAAGAUUAAAACUCAAAUGAAUUGACGGGGGCCCGCACAAGCGGUGGAGCAUGUGGUUUAAUUCGAUGCAACGCGAAGAACCUUACCUACUCUUGACAUCCAGAGAACUUUCCAGAGAUGGAUUGGUGCCUUCGGGAACUCUGAGACAGGUGCUGCAUGGCUGUCGUCAGCUCGUGUUGUGAAAUGUUGGGUUAAGUCCCGCAACGAGCGCAACCCUUAUCCUUGUUUGCCAGCGAGUAAUGUCGGGAACUCCAGGGAGACUGCCGGUGAUAAACCGGAGGAAGGUGGGGACGACGUCAAGUCAUCAUGGCCCUUACGAGUAGGGCUACACACGUGCUACAAUGGCGCAUACAGAGGGCGGCCAACUUGCGAAAGUGAGCGAAUCCCAAAAAGUGCGUCGUAGUCCGGAUUGGAGUCUGCAACUCGACUCCAUGAAGUCGGAAUCGCUAGUAAUCGUGGAUCAGAAUGCCACGGUGAAUACGUUCCCGGGCCUUGUACACACCGCCCGUCACACCAUGGGAGUGGGCUGCAAAAGAAGUAGGUAGUUUAACCUUCGGGGGGACGCUUACCACUUUGUGGUUCAUGACUGGGGUGAAGUCGUAACAAGGUAGCGCUAGGGGAACC
rnacentral:rRNA from 1 species